rnacentral:rRNA from 1 species
ACGACCUCAACUCAAGCAAGACUACCCCGCUGAACUUAAGCAUAUCAGUAAGCGGAGGAAAAGAAACUAACUAGGAUUUCCUUAGUAACGGCGAGUGAAA